UACGUAGGGAGCAAGCGUUGUCCGGAUUUAUUGGGCGUAAAGAGCGUGUAGGCGGCCAGACAGGUCCGUUGUGAAAACUCGAGGCUCAACCUCGAGACGCCGAUGGAAACCGUCUGGCUAGAGUCCGGAAGAGGAGAGUGGAAUUCCUGGUGUAGCGGUGAAAUGCGCAGAUAUCAGGAAGAACACCCGUGGCUAAGGCGGCUCUCUAGUACGGUACUGACGCUGAGACGCGAAAGCGUGGGGAGCGAACAGG
rnacentral:rRNA from 1 species